ACCCCUGGUGUGGAGUCUGCAAAAUGACUACAGGUAGUCUUUGAUUUACAACAGUUCAUUUAGUGACUGUUCAAAGUUACAGUGGCACUGAAAAAGUGAGUUAUCACCAUUUGUCCGCAACCAUUGCAACAUCGCCAUGGUCACCGGAUCAAAAAUUCAGGCACUUGGCAACAGACUCAUGUUUAUGUGAUUACCUUUUGUGGCCUGAUAAAGCAAAGUCAGUGGGGAAGCUAGGUUCACUUAACAUCCCUGUUGCUAGUUUAAGAACUGCAAUGAUUCAUUUAACUGUGGCAAGAAAGGUAAAAUGGGGCAAAAUUCACUUCACAAAUGUUUCACUUAGCAACAGAAUUUUUUGUCAUGGGUCAAGGACUACCUGUAUUUUAUUAAUAAAGACUGAUUAUACAGCCCCGCAGUUUGUUUAUUGGUUUGGGUUUUUUAUGAUUUUUGAUUAAUUUGUAUUGGUUUUUGUGUGCCUGUAAGCCACCAUCAUAUAUGUGAGAUGGCUGGCUAUCUGGGGACAAGUAUGGUGUAAAUUUUUUUUUCAGAUACUUCAGGUACUUUUAGCAGUGUGUCAGUGUUCCUCAUCAGGAGAAUGUUAAGUAUCUACUGAAGAAUUUCAAAGACCAAAGUGAAACAGGAUUCCUUUGAAAAGGCAGAUAACUUUCCAAAUCUUACAAAAGAGGUGCUGUGGUUCCCUGAGGGAGAGCUUUGCUUCUUGCACCUCCGUGCAAAAAAAAGAUUGAAUUGCUAAAUUUCUUAAAAACUAGAACUGAAGCAGGUUAAUAAUAGUUCAGUUCCAAAGCUAGAUGUGAAUAGAGAGGCCUCAAGGCAUGCUGCUGUUCCCAGUUCAGAGGUAGGUAACCUGAAAACCCCAAACUACACAAAGAAUCCUGCAAAACAAAAAAACCUUGAAAAUUGCAGGCAGGAUUUCUGAUAAUUUUGAGGAAGGAAAAACACAGAAAUGAGCAUAAGUCCUAAACGAGACCUAGUACUGCCAGCUGAAGCACUUUUUCUUUGCUGAACUCGCCCAGCUGCUUAGCUUUGCACUAGUGAACUAAAAACAAAGAGGUCUGGCAUAAUGCAGACUGGUGUUUAUGAUAAACAUGUCCAGAGUUUAACUUAUCUGUGCUUUAAAGUAUUAAAUCACUUUGCAUGACAUACUGAGUCAUAAGCUAAGCACAUGGGCUGCCUCAUGCAACAUGCAAAUGAAUGUUACACCAGCCAUGUAGCUCAGUGUGUCUUCUGGAGAUCUAACCUGCCUAAAUGUUAUAUGUACAGUCACAGACACACAGUGCUGUUGCUUUUUCUCCAGAAGAGGCCAUAUGGAUGCUGCUGAGCUGCUGCUCUGAAUCCCUGCUAGCCGGCAGGCGUGUUGCUGUGGGAAAAAGGUGGAUGUGAGAUCAUAUCGCAGCAGGCAGGCUAACUGGCGGGUGGGCGGCUUCAGCAGCUGGCUUUAAUCCGAGGCAGCACACACCCAGAGUUAAAGCAUGGAAAAUCUAUGGCGCCUGCUUGCUUUCCAAGGGAGAUGAUGGAAAACAGGCAGAUGCCUGAGAAACAAGGCACCAGCUAACAGCACUUUGUUUCACAGCUCCCUGGAGAACACAUCAGUUGUGAAUUCAGCAAGACUAGCAUUGGGGAGUUGUUGAAAGAAUAUUUCCUCUGCUUAUUUCUAGGAGAAAUUCUAAGGAAUGGUGGAAUUCUUAUGUCUCGAGUUCCCAAAUCAUUGCUAUUUAAUUAGACUCCAGGAGAGCAGUGACAUCUGGUGAAGCUGUAUUGUUAUCAGGAAUACUACUGACUUCUCAUCUCGGAAUUGCUACAAGAGGAACAAGGACCCCGAAUACAAAAUGACUGGCUGGAUUUGGGCAUGGAGCAAAGCCAUAAACGGGUGAGCCCUUCUACAGUAUAAAAUCCCUGAAGUUCGGAGAAGAACCUUGGAGUUUUGUGAUCCACAAGUUCCAUCAUCUCCAUAGUCUUCCCAUCAUGUAGUUUUGGACCUGUGACUGAACUACAAUUCCCAGCAGCAUCAAUCAAUGAAAAGAAUCCUGUAAGCAAUCCAGGCAUGGGGAUACUGUGGUGUGCCAGAUGUUAUCUCAGCAGCCCUAAUGAAGAUGAGAAAUGGGGUUGCCACAAAGAAGAGGGAGUCAAGCUAUUCUCCAAAGCAUCUGAAGGCA